rnacentral:rRNA from 1 species
UACGUAGGGUGCAAGCGUUAAUCGGAAUUACUGGGCGUAAAGCGUGCGCAGGCGGUUGUGCAAGACCGAUGUGAAAUCCCCGGGCUCAACCUGGGAAUGGCAUUGGUGACUGCACGGCUAGAGUGUGUCAGAGGGGGGUAGAAUUCCACGUGUAGCAGUGAAAUGCGUAGAGAUGUGGAGGAAUACCGAUGGCGAAGGCAGCCCCCUGGGAUAACACUGACGCUCAUGCACGGAAGCGUGGGGAGCAAACAGG